rnacentral:sRNA from 1 species
GAAUAUCAAAACAAUGAAAGCCCUACCUCUCUUUCAUCCUUGCGGCUCCAAUGACCGCGCCAGUGCGAAUUGCGUUACAAACACUUA